CACAGCCGGAAACUUUACCCGGUAAGCGGAAUAACGUUUCUCCAUGCAUGUGAACAGAACAAAAGUAUAUUUGGCUAGCUAGUCGAAAAGUUUUCUCGUUAACCGGGAUAACCUUUGCCCAUAUGAACAGGCCCUUAAAGACGAAAGGAGUUGUUUUCUCGCAUAAAUGUUGUGCCAUCUUGUAUUCACCCGCCACGAAUUCGAGAGGUAUGGACGCAUCGAACGACAGCUAUUUGCUACGACCUAGUUACUGCUCUAUUCAGCGACGAACAGUGGUAUCAAAAUUUCCGAGUCAACUAGAGCAACAUUCACAUUCUGUGUUAAAUUUGUUUUUUAACUUUGUUUUUUUUAAUUUUUGGCAAGUUGUAGUUUUUCGCCGCUUGCUGCCAUGUUGGAAAGAGGACAAUUUGUUUUGCGCAUGCUCGAUGUCGAACACAUUUUUUAUAUUUUUCGAAAUUUGGGCACGGCACCGCUUGCUAGACGUGCCGAGACUACCUCGUGAGAAAGUCUCGGCACGUUUAAAUUUUGCGGCACCGGUGCCGAUUUUUGUCACGUUUACACGC